GCCUAUGGCCAUACCACCUGAACGUGCCCAAUCUCAUCUGAUCUCGGAAGCUAAGCAGAGUCGGGCCUGGUUUGUACUUGGAUGGGAGAAAGCGAGAGAGAAAAUCUUGUAUCCUCUGAUU
ensembl:rRNA 5S_rRNA 5S ribosomal RNA